UACGAAUAAGGAUCGGCUAACUCCGUGCCAGCAGCCGCGGUAAUACGGAGGAUCCAAGCGUUAUCCGGAUUUAUUGGGUUUAAAGGGUGCGUAGGCGGUUUUAUAAGUUAGAGGUUAAAUAUCGGAGCUUAACUCCGUUAUGCCUCUAAUACUGUAGGACUAGAGAAUAGUUGCGGUAGGCGGAAUGUAUGGUGUAGCGGUGAAAUGCUUAGAGAUCAUACAGAACACCGAUUGCGAAGGCAGCUUACCAAACUAUGACUGACGUUGAGGCACGAAAGCGUGGGGAGCAAACAGGAUUAGAUACCCUGGUAGUCCACGCAGUAAACGAUGAUAACUCGUUGUCGGCGAUACACAGUCGGUGACUAAGCGAAAGCGAUAAGUUAUCCACCUGGGGAGUACGUUCGCAAGAAUGAAACUCAAAGGAAUUGACGGGGGCCCGCACAAGCGGAGGAACAUGUGGUUUAAUUCGAUGAUACGCGAGGAACCUUACCCGGGCUUGAAAGUUAUCGACGGACCUAGAAAUAGGUCUUCCCUACGGGGCGAGAAACUAGGUGCUGCAUGGUUGUCGUCAGCUCGUGCCGUGAGGUGUCGGGUUAAGUCCCAUAACGAGCGCAACCCCUACCGUUAGUUGCCAUCAGGUCAAGCUGGGCACUCUGGCGGGACUGCCGGUGUAAGCCGAGAGGAAGGUGGGGAUGACGUCAAAUCAGCACGGCCCUUACGUCCGGGGCUACACA
rnacentral:rRNA from 1 species